CUCCCAAAGUGCUGGGAUUACAGGCUUGAGCCACCGCGCCCGGCCAUAUGGACUAUCUUUAUAUAGAAGUCCCAACUUAUAAUGCCACCAUUACAUCCAGCUUCCUCUUUGCCCUUCCCUGGCUUCUGGUGCCAUGUUGGGGUUGAUGGGCCAUCCUGUGUCCUGUCAGUGUUUUCUGAGUACUUAUUAUUCUAUUCAAUUUUUGGAUUGAUGGGAGAGAGACAGAGGGACUAAAAUGGGGAUUAAGCUAUGUAUAUUUCUAAAGAUUUCUUGUGGAUUUCACAUGUUCCAAUCUUAGUGUUUGGUAAGUACAGGACAUUUAAGCAACAGACACAACUACAGACAUUAGAAGUCAUCUGGUUCAGCAAGUUGGCUUUAAGCAUUUCCUAUAUUCUAUGUUUUACGCUUGAGGGUACAGUUAAGAAAAGUUAACUUACUGAGAAGUUUCAUUGAUCCUGGAACUUUAUUCACCUGAUACAGGAAACCAGUGUUCUUCAAAAGUGAUGAGAAUGCCUUAACAAGAUGAUAGGAACCAGCACUGUAUAUUUGUUCCCCAGGGAAUACUGCAACAUGUAGGAAAGGCCCUUGGUGACCUAAUAAUACGUAUUUAUGAAAUUCCAUGAGUCCCUUGGGAUGGGAGCUAAAAGGGUUAGCUUUGGGUUAGCUGUGCUUUUCACCAAUUUCUGCUUGACAGGAUCAGAAGACUGCUGACACAGAUAUGGCUAUGCUGAGCUCUUCAUGUUCAUCUUAGGGACUCACUGCAUACUAUUUUUUAACUACAUGUGUUACUCAGAGUUAGGAGAUCUUGGAUGGGACUCCAAAACGAUUUAAAAGACUCCAUACCUUAUGUUAGGGCCAGAGCAGGUAGUAAAGCAUGUAGUGAUAUGAUUUUGACCCAGAAGGAUGGUUUUAGGUAUCAACAUUAAGAAUGUCUGCAAAAGGCUUUCAAUGAAGACAACAAAGAAUACCAAUGCUUUCAUCGGGAGGAGGAAUGAGCCUGAUGGUUGUAGUGCCUUUUGCUUGUGGUACACGUAGCCAAAGGAGCUCUGUGAUGCCAACAGACAUUGAGAAAGUGAUGUUAAGGAGCCUCAUGUUGCAGCACAGAAGAUUUUUCAUCGUUGGAAGUUAAGACAAGGUCUCUCUGUCACCCAAACUGGAAUGCGAUGGAGCAUUUACAGCUGAUUGCAGCCUCAAACUCCUGGGCUGAAGCCAUCCUCCUACCUCAACCUC